CCUUUUGAUAUUAAUUUUAGGUCUAAUCUGCCCACUGAGUAAUUAAAUGGCCGCGGUAAUUUGACCGUGCGAAGGUAGCAUAAUCAUUAGUUUUUUAAUUAAAACCUGGAAUGAAAGAUUGAAUGAGAAAAUAACUGUCUCAAGUUAAUUUAGUUAGAAUUUUAUUUUUAAGUUAAAAAGCUUAAAUGAUAUUAAAAGACGAGAAGACCCUAUAGAGUUUUAUAGUUAAUUUGAUUUUAAAUAAAUUGUUUAUAUAAAUUUAAUUUGAAUUAAUUAUUUUGUUGGGGUGACAAAAAAAUUUAAUUAACUUUUUUUUUAUUUAAAUACUAAUAUGUAAAUUAUUGAUCCAAAUUUUUUGAUUAAAAGAUUAAAUUACCUUAGGGAUAACAGCGUAAUUUUUUUUGAGAGUUCUUAUCGAAAAAAAAGAUUGCGACCUCGAUGUUGGAUUAAAAUUAAGUUUUGGUGUAGAAGCUAAAAUUUUAGGUCUGUUCGACCUUUAAAACUUU
rnacentral:rRNA from 1 species